rnacentral:misc_RNA from 1 species
GGAAAAGGUCACACUAAACAUUCAAAUUUGAUGGUGUCAUGGGAAUAUUAUCUUUUAAUUGUCCAUUAUGCAUUGAUUUCUAUGUUAGUGGGCAUCAUGACAAUUCAUGGAUUUCUACAAGGCUUGGGUAAGGGAAAAGAAAUUACAUAGCCUAAAUCAGGGUGUAAAAAGAUAAAGACCAUAAAAUUUUGGUAAAUAAAGGAGAACUAAAAGAAGACAGAGAAGUUAGUUUGAUAAUGUCCUAAAUGGUAGCCAUCUGAAGAAUUUUGGAGACAAUAAUUAUUCAAUAGGAGAA